rnacentral:rRNA from 1 species
CCUACGGGAGACUGCAGUGAGGAAUAUUGGUCAAUGGGCGGGAGCCUGAACCAGCCAAGCCGCGUGAGGGAAGAAGGUACAGCGUAUCGUAAACCUCUUUUGUCAGGGAACAAAGGCGGGGACGAGUCCCCGGAUGAGGGUACCUGAAGAAAAAGCAUCGGCUAACUCCGUGCCAGCAGCCGCGGUAAGACGGGGGAUGCGAGCGUUAUCCGGAUUUAGUGGGGGUCAAGGGUGCGCAGGCGGCCUGUUAAGUCAGCGGUAAAAGCCCGGGGCUCAACCCCGGCUCGCCGUUGAAACUGGCGGGCUGGAGUUGGACAGAGGUACGCGGAAUGCGCGGUGUAGCGGUGAAAUGCUUAGCUAUCGCGCAGAACCCCGAUUGCGAAGGCAGCGUACCGGCUCCACACUGACGCUGAGGCACGAAAGCGUGGGUAUCGAACAGGAUUAGAUACCCCAGUAGUC